CAUAGUCGCAAGAACGUUAAGAAUUCAACAGUGGAAAUCAUGAAUACGAUAUUCAACUUUCUUCUUCUGUUUAUGUCUCUUAUUUUACUGUCAGGAUGUUUCUUUGCACCGGUGACAGCAACACCACCGGCUUGUCAUAGUUUACCUAGGAGUCAUCUUUGUAGUAGCAUGAAAUACCGCAUGAUGUGUAGGCUGAAAUGUUAGGGCUGAUGGUGAAUUCUAUGGCGUGGAAAAAUAAAAUGCUACCACUGAUGACGGCGACGACGGUUUCAGAAACAUAUUAUUGUUGACAAUGUAGCUGUAAUGGAAAAUAAAUGUUUUCGCGAUAU